GUGCUUGCUUUAGCAGCACAUAUACUAAAAUUGGAAUGAUACGAAGAUUAGCAUGCUCCUGUGGCAAGGAUGACAUGCAAAUUCGUGAAGUGUUUCAUAUUUUU
ensembl:snRNA U6 U6 spliceosomal RNA